GCGCUCCGGGCACUCUCGGCGGUCCCGGCUCCUAGCCGCCACCGCGGCGGCGAUUCCUGCGGAGCAGCGCGCGCCCCCGGCUGGACCGAGCCGCCGGACGGAGAGCGGAGCCGCGGGAGCCCGCGGCGGCGCCAUGCGAGCCAGGAGGAAGCACGUUGCCAGGUUGAUGCCGCUGUACCGCGUGUUUGCCUGAGACGGAGGCGUGGGCACCUGCUGGAGUAACUGCAGGAAGAAACAUGAGGCCUUAGCAGCUCACACAGGCGGCGAGUUUCGAGAUGGCGGCUCAGCGGAUCCGAGCUGCCAACUCCAACGGCCUCCCCCGCUGCAAGUCAGAGGGGACUCUGAUCGACCUGAGCGAGGGGUUUUCAGAGACGAGCUUUAACGACGUCAAAGUGCCUUCCCCCAGUGCCUUGCUAGCGGACAGCCCCACACCUUUUGGAAACGCAAAGGAAGUGAUCGCGAUCAAGGACUAUUGCCCAACCAACUUCACCACCCUGAAGUUCUCCAAGGGGGACCACCUCUACGUGCUGGACACGUCGGGCGGCGAGUGGUGGUACGCACACAACACCACCGAGAUGGGCUACAUCCCUUCCUCCUACGUGCAGCCGCUGAACUACCGGAACUCGACCCUGAGCGACAGCGGUGUGAUCGACAACCUCCCGGACAGCCCGGAUGAAGUCGCCACAGAGUUAGAGCUGCUCGGGGGAUGGCCGGAUGACAAGAAAGGGUUGGGCAGAACGUACAGUAACAACCCUUUCUGGAACGGAGUACAAACAAACCCAUUUCUGAAUGGGAACGUGCCAGUGAUGCCCAGCUUGGAUGAGCUGAACCCCAAAAGUACUGUGGAUUUGCUGCUUUUUGAUACGGGCACGUCCUCGUUCACGGAGUCCAGCUCAGCAACCACGAACAGCACCGGCAACAUCUUUGAUGAGCUUCCGGUCACCAACGGGCUCCACGCAGAGCCGCCAGCCAAGCGAGACAACCCCUUCUUCAGAAGCAAGCGCUCCUACAGCCUGUCGGAGCUCUCUGUCCUCCAGGCCAAGGCCGAUGUUCCCACGUCAUCAAAUUUUUUCACGGGGUUGAAGUCACCUGCGCCCGAGCAAUUUCAGAGCCGGGAGGAUUUUCGAACUGCCUGGCUGAACCACCGGAAGCUGGCCCGGUCUUGCCACGACUUGGACUUGCUCGGCCAAAGCCCCGGUUGGGGGCAGACCCAGGCCGUGGAGACGAACAUCGUGUGCAAGCUGGAUAGUUCGGGGGGCGCCGUGCAGCUUCCCGACACCAGCAUCAGCAUCCACGUGCCCGAGGGCCAUGUGGCCCCUGGGGAGACGCAGCAGAUCUCCAUGAAAGCCCUGCUGGACCCCCCGCUGGAACUCAACAGUGACAAAUCCAGCAGCAUCAGUCCCGUUUUAGAGGUCAAACUCAGCAACCUGGAAGUGAAAACCUUCAUCAUCUUGGAGAUGAAAGUUUCAGCCGAGGUGAAAAAUGACCUUUUUAGCAAAAGCACAGUGGCCCUCCAGUGCCUGAGGAGCGACUCAAAGGAAGGGCCGUACGUCUCCAUCCCGCUCGCCUACAGCUACGGGGACACGAUCCAGGUACAGCUGGACAACCUGGAGCCCUGUAUGUACCUGGCCAUCAUCGCCCACGGCCCAAACAUCCUCUACCCCUCCACGGUUUGGGACUUCAUCCACAAAAAAGUCACCGUGGGUCUCUACGGCCCCAAACACAUCCACCCAUCCUUCAAGACAGUGGUGACCGUGUUCGGGCAUGAUUGUGCCCCAAAGACGCUCCUGGUCAGCGAGGUCACCCGCCAGGCCCCCAGCCCCGCCCCAGUGGCCUUGCAGCUGUGGGGCAAGCACCAGUUCAUCUUGCCCAGGCCCCAGGAUCUCAAAGUCUGCAUGUUUUCCAAUAUGACGAAUUACGAAGUCAAGGCCGGGGAGCAAGCCAAGGUCGUGCGGGGCUUCCAGAUGAAGCUGGGCAGGGUGAGCCGCCUCAUAUUCCCCAUCACCUCGCAGAACCCCGGCGAGCUCUCCGACUUCACGCUGCGGGUGCAGGUCAAAGAUGACCAGGAAGCCAUUCUGACCCAGUUCUGCGUCCAGACUCCCCAGCCACCCCCGAAAAGUGCCAUCAAGCCAUCUGGGCAAAGGAGGUUUCUCAAGAAGAAUGAAGUCGGGAAAAUCAUUCUGUCCCCUUUCGCCGCCACCACCAAGUACCCGACCUUUCAGGACCGGCCUGUGUCCAGCCUCAAGUUCGGCAAGCUGCUCAAGACCGUGGUGCGGCAGAACAAGAACCACUACCUGCUGGAGUACAAGAAGGGCGACGGGAUCGCUCUGCUCAGCGAGGAGCGCAUCAGGCUCAAGGGACAGCUGUGGACCAAGGAGUGGUACAUCGGCUACUACCAGGGCAAGGUCGGCCUCGUGCACGCCAAGAACGUGCUGGUGGUCGGCAGGGCCCGGCCCAGCCUGCUCUCGGGGCCCGAGCUGAGCACCUCGGUGCUGCUGGAGCAGAUCCUCCGGCCCUGCAAGUUCCUCACCUACAUCUACGCCUCGGUGAGGACCUUGCUCAUGGAGAACAUCAGCAGCUGGCGCUCCUUCGCCGACGCCCUGGGCUACGUGAACCUGCCGCUCACCUUCUUCUGCCGGGCAGAGCUGGACAGUGAGCCCGAGCGGGUGGCAUCUGUCCUGGAGAAGCUGAAGGAGGACUGCAACAACACGGAGAGCAAAGAUCGGAAGUCCUUCCAGAAGGAGCUCGUGAUGGACCCUCUUCCCAAGACAUGGGCAUGACUCCGUGUGUGCUGGGCCAAGAGCAGUUCGUGGGGCAGACACUGUCUAUCAUCAGAGCGACCCCUCCGCUCAAUAGCUGGCUCGGGGCUCGCUGUGCUUGUCCACGCUCCUUCCUCUUAGGAUGAGCUAUUUCCCAGGAAGUCUCUUGGCAAGUGUGUGGUGGGUGGGGUCAGCCUGUGGACCAUGUAGACAAGCCAUAGUGCCCUGCCCAGACCAUCUGAAUCCUGGGACAAGCACAGGAGAGCCCGACCAGCUGGGACUCUGCCCCAGACUACGCGGUAAGACAAGGCAGUGAGGCCGGAACCUUCAGACAGGUGCAAACAAUGUGCUACCAAAGGAAUGUUUUUCCAAAAGGUUUUUAAAACAAAAAUACGAACAAUGUUUUUAGUAAUCCAGGUAACUUUCCUUGUGGAAUAUGUCGAACCCCUCCCCGCCCCCGGGAAUUGUGCGGCCUGGUUCCUAACAGGCCAUGGACCAGUACCACACCAAAGCCCGGGGGUGGGGACCACAGGUGCAGGGAAGCCCCAGGUACAUGGCUACGUCCACAUGAUGGAGCACGUGAGCACUGAAUAUGAGGGCAGAGAGAAGUGCUGGAAAUGCCCUGAUAUUCGUUUCCUGAAAAAAAAAUAAAUAAAAUAAGACAUGUGCAUUGAAAACAGUUCUGGAUAAAGUAAUUUAAAAAGAAGAGAGACAAACCAGGAGCUGUGACAUACGACAGGAAACCUGUACAAGAAUGUUCCCUGCUGCCCUGCUGGCCUCAGCAAAAGCAUGGAAACAACCAGGCAAAGGCAGAGCCGGCGAGUGAACACUGUCCCAUAUCCAGUCUCCUACAGGUCAGAUUUGAGAAAAUUCCUGCAUGGUUCAGAUUUUCGGUUCAGGAGGUUGAGAAAGGAGAGAAGCUUCCAGGUGUGGACCGAGCCUGCCUCCCCCUGCUCCGGGCUCGCCCACCCCCCGUGACAGGUGCCCAGUAGAGCCUGGCAGGUGAGGAGGCCAGGUGUGUGUCCACGGAAGGUGCUUGGCUGAAGCAGAGACGGAAGGGUGCGGGGUAGGAGGUAGAAGGAUCACCCAGUUGAUUCCUCUCUCAUCACAAAGAACAAACUUGGACUUCCCCAUCCCUAGAGCCUCUGGAAAACAGGAGCUCAGUCCUGACACAUACACUUCCAGGGGUUAUCCCUGACAGCCAUAUUGUGGAAUGGCCAUUUUUCAGAAUCAUGUCCUGACACUCAAGUUCAACAGCACGGAGGGUCAGUGGCCAGGCUGCUGGGUCGGUGUGAAGCAACAGCUUCCAGAGAAAAUGCAUUCCCCGUUAGCCAGCAUUCGGCCAGAAGGUGGGCACAGCACAGCGGGGGGUGGGCUUUGUCCCACAUACCCAGGAGGGCACCUGCAGCAAAGCAGCAGGGUCUGGAAUGUAGGCACGAGUGGCCUUGCCAGGAGCUGCUCCUCAGCUCCAGAAUCUUCCAGUCUGUCCACUCCAGCGGCGACCACAGAGCCCCGGCCGUCUGCCCAGGAGUGCGAGGUGAGGCCCUCUCUGAGAAGCCUCCGCAGACAGCUUCCAGGCCCAUUCCAAACCCCACCACUGCUCCUCUCAGUUUUCUCAGGACUCUGCGUUGGCAGAAAAGGGGCCAUAUCUGCACAUAUAUUGUUGAAGGCCAUGCACCUUCCACAGGUUCAAUAAUUUUGCAAAGACUUGGACUUUCUAUGUGGUUCGUGAGCACAACACUUCUCUCUCCUCCCUCAAAACACCCAGGAGGGCCUUGGAGGCAAAGCCCGUCAUGUCUGCUGCUGUGGCUGCACAUCGAGGUCAGGCGAAUGAGGGGCCCGGAGCCCCCACCCCACAAGGAGCACUGGCCUUGGAGACCGGUCAGGUUCUGGUCUCAGCUCCAGAGCGACCUUGGACAAGCUUUCAUUUAAUCACCAGUGCCUUCGUUUCUCGUGUGGGAUGGACACUGUUAUCUGCCCUUCGGGGUGAUUAUGUGCACAAAAUGAAAUUAAAAGUUUGUGAAAGAGUUUGAAAUUGCUCCUUUCUCUGUAGCCAGGCUGGAGUGAAAGGCUGCCCUUGGCAGAAAGUGACAGUUAAUCAGACGGAGUUUCCUUGUAGUUUGAGGCCUUGCAAGAACCCACUGGGACUUGGGGAUAAUUGCAAGUAUUCUUCAGCUGCCAGGAACCAGAGUGAUCUGACAUAAACAAGGAAAAGUGUCCUCUGGGUAAACUGCUGGCAGCCGCCGGGGCAGGCUGGCAGGCUGCUGUCUGCCUGGGCCCUGGCUGUGCUGUGGCCAGGCACCUCUCCCUGCUGGUGAGCUACUGUUGGGCACGAGGUGUUUGAAUGAAUCACUAGAGGUCCACUCAUGGCAGUAAAAAAACAAAGUACUGUUAUUAAAAAAACACACAGCUUCCUUCCUCCAAAGUCUCCAUUUUUGUUUCAGAAAGCUACACCGACAGCGGUAGAAACCCGGUGUGUCCAUUGACAGCAUUACCAGGUUCUCCGGCUGCACCAGCGCUGUUUUCCAGAUGCCUGGAGUAGAGCUGGGAGAAUCCACUCACUGGACAUCAUUAGCCACCAAGGCAGUAAACUUCAGGGAUUUCCCAAAAGAUGAGGAAGAAAAGUUUGGGAACAUGUCAAAAGCCAGCUGGAAGUGACACUGGGGAACAAGGCAGAGGGGAUUUUAAAUCAAUCAGCAGAAACCUAAUCAAUUGCAUUAGGCUGUGCUGGAGCAAGGAGAGUGUUGGACACACGUGGUAACCUAGACACAAACAUUGGCAGAGCCCUUGCCGGUUCCACUGGGGCCGAAGGGAGCUUGACUAAGGGGUUUCUUGCAGUCAGGUGUCCUUGCUACUCACUCUAAGCUGAGAGGAGUACCCCAAGACCAGCCUUCCCAUUCUUUGCGAAUCAAGCAGUGUUGUCAUCCAGCUGUCCUAGAAGCCAGCCUACGGAAGGAGAAUGUGCCUCGAGAGCAGUGUCACACCCUCCUGUCCCUUCAAUGAUUGCAUCUGUCCUUAUUGAUGGAUAAAUCAGCCUCAGGUUUAUACAUCAGUCUCUAUGAGUCUGGUGAACUUGCAUCUGUCCUUGAAAGAGAACCACUGUGAGGGUCACAACAAAAUCAGGUUUCUGGAAACCAGAACUGGGCUUCAGAGGAUUCACUCGGGUAUUGGCCAGCUCAGCUGCCCUCGGGGCCAGCCUGCCCUGAAGCCCCGUGUAUGUGAUCACAGAAGAAUCAUUGUUAAAGAAUGCCUGGUAACAUUUCCAAUUCUUUUUGUUGAUAUCUACACUUUUUCUUUGCCACCUGUAUUUAUUCUCCCUUUUAUUUUUACUGUAAGCACAGAUAAAAUGUUCAAUAUAUGCUGAUUUAUUUAAUAAAUG